GAUAUGUUUCAAGCACACAGAAAUGGGACGUCACAGCUGUCUCAUCGGCACAAAAGAUCAUGGAUCAUAGCGAUGUAUACGAUUGAAGAAGAGAGAAGAUCUACUUUUUCCCUUGGCAUAAUACCGGUUAACGUUAGCGAUGACACUAAGGUGGAAUACCAAAUUUCUGGGAUGGGAGUCGAUGAAGAACCUAAAGGUGUCCUGAGAAUAAACAGAGACACUGGAGAACUCUUUGUUGUAAAGAAAGUAGAUCGUGAAAAGCACCAAUCUUUAAAACUUAAAUUUACAGCAUUUGAGGUAUAUCCAAGAACUUUGAAUACUCAUCUUGGUAUUGAUAUCAAGAUCUUAGACAUCAAUGACCACGCCCCCACUUUUAAGAGUGAAAGCUACAGUGCAACAGUCAAA